UUCAAGUUGUUUCCUGGUUUCCUAAGGAGUUGGCUAAGGAGAGUCUCUGGGUUCCCAACCUUGUCCAACCUGAGCUCUGUCAAGCAGUCGAGCUGAGCAAAGGCCAACUCAAGCUCCUGAGGUGGUGUGAGGAUGUCUUUGCCUCCUUGCCAACCUAGCCCUUUCCAGACUUUGAAUUCCUCCGUCAUCAGUAGCUUCGCAAACCUCUGUACCUCAAUCUGGCCAAUAUCCUGUCCCUGCUGAGGAGGAGCAAUGCCCUCUGCCACCCUUUGCAUUCGAUCACUGGGAAUGCCCAACCUACAAGCGACCCUGGCAGCGAAGUGGAUGAAUCUGAUGUCGAGCUGUGGUACCAAAGCGGCCUUGAGAAUGUCAAUGUGAGCAGCAGCAGCAGCAGACGAACUGCCAUCACCAGGAGCAUCUCCCACAUCCAGAGCCCUGUCUAAACAGGGCGGAUUUGAAAUGCACCAGUUGAGCACACCAAUCAGAUCCUCCUCUGUGCCUCCAAACCUCUCGACGGUAGCACUCACCUCAUCAACAAACUCACCUUUGGAUGAGUGAAGCCUCUCCAAGAUCUCCCCACAAAAAAACUGAAUCGCAUCGAAGUGCCGCUUGUUGUCCCGCUCCGCUGCGAGAGCCUCCUUGAUCUCCUUGACAGAGUCACAGCCGAUCCACACUCGUCGCUCCUCCUCCAUGGAAGUUUGCCCUAGACCGAGUGAUCAUGAGUAAACUUCUCCCAGCUGUGGAUAAGAAAGUAAGCACGAGUUAGUUUAGGGUUUAGAACAGAUAAAAUGGGGAAGAAGGGGAAAGGGAAAAGAGAAGAUCGUCGCCACGACAAGGUGUUAGACGAGGAUGAUAUCGAUGCGAUCUUGGUAAGCAAUCUCUGGCCAAAGACUCUCAAUUGUUUUCCUUUUUGUCAGGCUAAACUCCACGAGGAGGAAGCAGAAAUUCAUGUCGAUGAGAAUGUAGCAGCUCCUUCACCAAUGCAAUUGCUCUGUGCGUAAGAAUUCGAUUGAAAUCUCCACUCUGGAAGCUCACAUUCUCUAGACUUCUUUUCUUGCGUUUCAGGUGACUGUAAAUCCAGUCAAGGACACUGAGCUGAUCGUCUAUGGAGGUGAAUACUAACAACGGUGACAAGGUUUGUGGUUAGUUUCGCUACGGUGAUUUGAUCUUCGUGUUUGCUAUGCUAGACUUUACGUUUAUGGUGAUCUCUACCGAUACAACAUCGAGAAGAACGAGUGGAAGCCUGUCACCAGUCCAAACUCUCCUCCCCCGAGGCGGUUGCGUGGAAAAACUGGCUCUUCAGUUUUGGUAUCCAGGAAUUCUCUUGAUUUUGGCAGUGUAGGUGGUGAAUUCGGUUUCAUGACUAUAAGGUGUGUUUCUAGCUGACUUACAAGAGAGUUCUUGCAGGAUUUAUGGAGACUGGAUUUAAACACAAAUAUCUGGCGGGAGCAGCUUCAACUAAAAGGCUGUCCAGGUGCUCGUUCCGGACAUAGAUUGGUAUGUAUUGCGCUUCUAAACAUAAUCUUUAUUUUUUUCUUUCUUGCCACAGAAACAUAAACUUAUUCUAUUUGGUGGAUUUUAUGACACGCUGAGGGAAGAAAGGUCGGCUGUUUCAGCAGUGUAGAUGUUUAGUAUUGAAUUUUUGACACAGGUACUUCAAUAAUCUUUAAGUGCUGGAUUUAGACGAUUAUAAGGUUUGUUUCUGUCGCUCAUCGUUCUUCCUUGUUUUUUAACAACUAAACUGAUUUCCUUUUGCAGUGGCAAGAGAUAAAACCCAAGCUUGGAGCUGCCUGGCCUUCAGCUGGAACUGGUUCUCAGCUUGCUGUUUAUUUAGAUGAGGUAUUUGUCUACUAAAAGUAUAGUUUUGCGUGUUGUGAACAUUUUUUCUUUUCUAGAUUUUCUUGUACGGUGGCUAUUUCAAAGAGCCUGUGCUUGUUUUACAUUCUCGUUUGGAGUUUUAGUUUUUCAAUGUGUUUUGUGAAGGUGAAAAAAUCCGGUAUGGCUCCUGGCCAAGAGCAGGAUUUUUGUCCACAUCUUGUUUGGUGGUGUAGUUGAUGCUGAUGAGUACGGUUUCAAUGCAUGCGUUGGAAAAACUAAUGUCUUUUGCAGGUGAUUCCCUGCACAGCGUUUUUAUGAUCGAGAUGUAUAUGCUUUCCAGAUGGUUUGUAUCUCGUCGAUUUUUUAAAAAUUAUCUAAGCACCAUCGCUCGCAGGUAUCCUUUGGAGCAAAGAGCCUAAAGAUUAAGGUAUGGCAAUCUGAGAUUGUGUAGUGGUUAAGUGUGCAUCCAAAGCAGAAGAAAGUGGUUGAUCCAAAUGUGGAAAAUGCGUCUCAACGUUGAGCGUUCUGCUUGAAGGUUGUUGCCUUGUGGAAGAAUGAAUGCUGGAAUGGUCGUUGGAAAGGAUACUUUGUUUCUGUAUGGAGGUAUGAAAGAAGUCGGCAAAAAAAAAGUGACACGACGACCUUUCCUCGCUGGACCUUCGAUGUGUGGAAGUGCAUUAUUGAGGUAGUAUGAUCGAGCCAUCAUCCAGCCUCAUACUAAUGUCUCAAGCAGGAAACACAAAGCGCGUGGAUUGAAGCUAGUAAGGAGAAAGGCGAAACUGAUGGUGACAACAGUGAUGCUGGAUCGAUUAAUAAAGGAAAAGACGAAGAGGACGAUGACGAGGUAGUAAAAAAGAAGGAUGUAAGAAAACUUGUCGGCUUCCUUUUGUAUUCUAGGAUGCAGUGGAGUCACUGUGAAGAGGCAGCUGCUAUUCUUAGGGGCGAAGGCAAAAAGCUGACACAGAAAGCACGGAAAUUAAAUAUCAAUCCGAGCUGGGCCUGGCUGAUUCCCAACAAACACUUUUGGUGAGUGCUGAUAGUAGUUCAUCUUCCUGUUUUGUUAUUGAUUUGUCUUUCAGCCUGGAGAAACGCUGAGAGAUUUUUUCUCUUGGACGAUCAUGUAUUGGCAAAUGGCACCUUACGAUCACACCCAACACACUGGAAAGGUGACAACGCAGGUUUUCUUUCGCUCGUUCUUCAUGCUCUAUGCAUCUAUCAGGAGCUCAGGAAGGAUGGAUUUGACUUGGCAAAGACACGCUACAGAGAACUUAAACCCGUCCUUGACAAGGUAAAGUGGUGUCUCAAGAAGGAAUCCUCACAACAGCAUUGUUUGAUUUGCAGCUCGAGACUUGAAGCCGACCACAACGCCGAAGAGGAGGCUACCAAACCUUCCAAAGAGCGCAGCACGAAGAAACGAUAAGGUCCGUGAUCUCUGAAAGUUCUAGCUGAAAAUUAAAUGAAUAGAUUACAGUUAUUCCCAGAGGUAUGGUGAGUGCUUUCCUUUUCUAGAGGCAAUGCCAUUGACAUGAAACCACUAGUAUACAAUCUCUGCGUCGCAUCAUCAAUGGUGAUAGAAGGUUAAUUAAUAACGACGAUCCGAGUGCAUGAAAUGGAUAUCCAGGAUAAAGUUUAUAUUUCCAUGAUUGCUCGCAGAGUGUAUGGGCCUGAGAUAUCCCAUGGCUCGCUUUCGGUUGCCUUUCGUAAAGUGCAGAGUGAACACUCUCUCUACGCGGUCCAUAAACUUUACUACCUGCAGUGCAUUGGAGCAAUGAAAUUCCAUCAGCAAGACCCUCAAAGGAAAAUUUCUUCACACCUUCCGACGUUGCAAAGUGGUAACUGCCAGACUCCAGUCACCUGAAAAUUCAAAAAAACCUUUUUAGAAGUCUGCACUAAUUUUCCAUUUUCCAUAAGUACCUUUUCAUAUUUCUUGCGGAUCUUGACGAAUGCCAUCAUGUUCAAGGAGCUGCCAAGUAAGUUUUCAACACUUUGAGAACAUGGAUCAAUCGUAUAGAGGUCAUUCACCUGAAGUUUCUUAGGAGUCGAAGCCCACGAUAAAAUUCGACAAAGGCCGUCUGGAGCAUCUUGGCUGCUCGCUGAACCUUUCCUUUGUUGCCGGGGCUCCCCUUCAAGCUCUGAGAUUCGUCAUCUACAACAUGGCAGAGAUCAAACGAUUCCAAGUUAAGUGCCACAGAAUUAGAGGCUGCUAGAACGAACCUUGCAUAGCGAUGAGCUCUUCCAUUUGGAUGUGAAGUUGCCGUGCUUGAGCAUCGUACUCGUCUUCCUUGCAUCUAAAAAAGUUGUCCACUUUGUUGAGCUGAUCGUCAAGGCCGAAAAAGAAGCUCUUUUCGUGAUCCGAUCGAGUUCCAAACAGCUCCGUCUCGUAAAAAUCCUCGCCAUCUCCAAUUCUCGUCUUGUGCACAACCUGAUCAUAUUGAAGUGUUUUGUUUUGUCUUUACAGUCCAGACCAUCAUCACAAACCAUGGACGUUUCCGAGGAUAUGGAUUGUUCGCAGCAGCUGCUUAGAAUGGCGCUGGGAUUUUGCAGCAAGUUUUCAAGCUUGCUCUUGUCAACGGAGAAGACAUUUGGAUCGAACACCUUGUGCUGCUGGUUCUUGGUAUGUAGGAUCUGGGUUUUGAUUCUCUUGACAACUUUCUUGAGCUGCUUGUAGUCGCAGUACUUCACCCGCCACUCUGGGACGAGCUGGCCCUCCAGCUGCUUCUGGAACUUCACCAUGUCUGAAAGCUUGGAUUACCUGAGGCGAACAUCGUCAAGAAAACGAUCAAGCAAGAGAUGAAAUACCUGGAGGAAAUGGUGUCAAGUUCAGAAUGCCUCUUCAAACUUUUCUGGCGCCUGUGCUCUGGAAGCACAGGAAGAACAGUGGCAGUGAGCAUAUGACGAGACAAAUGGUGGCGUGGAAUCAUCAAAUGCAUUGUGCUGGGGAGGAGCACCACCAAUUCUCACAAGAAAACAGCGCCUUAAGAUCAUCUCUGGAAAAAAGGGGGAAAGCCUUCGUUUCUCACCGACGCCAGCGAACAAUUACAUAAGAAUACGUUAUCCCGAGUGAAACUGACGCAGCAGAGUGCAAGAGGAGAGAAGAAGCAAGCGAUCCAUUGGCCUAUGGAACUAAAAAAGGAAACAAAAGGACAGGGAAUGCAGGGGAAUCUACAGGAAAAGCUGUCGUAAGUUACACACUUACACACACUCUCACACACUUCAACUCUUUUCUUGUCAACACGAGUAAUUUAUGCGAGCGAAAGGGAAUGAAAGAAUCAUUUGAGCAUCUAAAGCAUGGAAGGAAGCGAGGCACGAUGAUUCGUCCCUGCUUAUUUUUUCGCCUAUCGUUGGCUGUGUCUCCUACAUUAGGACCAAAGGUCUUCCCGCAUAACCAUCAAGCCACGUUUCGUGGAUUCGUAAUGCACUCGCAUAAGGCAUGCCAUCCUGUAAGAGAAGCAAAGCUGAAUAACUCCACCAAGACAAAGCGAUAAGAACGCCACCUCAUAUUGAAACACACGGCGGUUGUCAAGCGAUAAUUCAGCUCUUCGUCUGGAAUGCACCAGCAAAAGAAUAAUGCAUAUGACUCAGAAAGAAGAACUUGACGUACCCGUUCGCUGCCACUUAUCAAACUUGACAACCCAAGUAACGUCCCCAACCCCCAUCAACCCACAUACAGAAGUUCUUUCCCCUGGGAAUACCGUGGAGGGGACGUAGAAUCUCAACGCUUCUACGAAGAUCGUCUUCUAGUUUCCACGGAGUGACCAGCGUUGAGUCAGGGGCCUGCCAGCCAUUUCGUUGCUCAACCAUCAAAAACUACUAAACACGAGGAACUUACCAUUGGCCUUUUCAAGUGUUCAAACACCUCGUGGGAGCUUUCAACCUCGCCUCGUAACCAUCUCACACUCCACGUCCGAUCAACCCUUCGGUGUCCCCAGCAGUGAGCUGGCUCAGUAAGUCGGCAUCCCUGGGCGAAACACAAGGAUCAAACUUGAACUCUCGGAUAGCUUGUAAGAUUCCCGAAGCGCAUCUUUCAGUGCCACGAAAGAUCUUGGGAUUGUCUUUGGCAUUAUCAAGGUACCACUACGUAAGAUCUUCAAACGCAUUCCCGACCUGAGAUCGUCAGUGAGUGAGUGAGUGAUCAAUCGACUUCAAGAACUGAAACGUCUUUGACGUCCAGCGCCUCCUCCUGAUUGAGCACCGAGAUCCACGUCGCGCUCUCCUUGGCAGUUAUCUUGUCUUGCAAGCACUUGGACUGCCUCACGAGCUUCCUGAUCUUCCCGAUAUCCGGGGACAUGUGUCGGAUCACCGCAGUGAGAACUCCAACCUUCCACACCUUCUUGAGAUCAUGGGGCUUCUUAUACGGAUCCAUCUUGCGGAUCGAUCGGAGUGGAAGUAUUUCGAGCGCCCGCUGCCAAGAGGAGGGAAUAUUUCGGAGCGAUUACCUCCAAUUCGCCAUGGAAAGCCGAGGAUCGAAUGGGAAAAGCGAGGAAGAUCACGGGAAGCAGAGAGAAAGAAGGAAAAAGCUCGAUUCAACGCGAGCCCCUUGUGUGAUUACCUAGCUCCAUCGAUGCCCCGUCGACGCGCGCUGCGCUCGCCGAUCGCGCCCGUGACACAGUGGCGCAGCGCCUUCAAAUUCGACACAUUGCCCGGGCAAGCGUCACAAUCCCAAUGCCGCCACCGCUGCGGGCGCUGCCAACGCGAUCAACGAGAAUCGAUGCCCUAGCGCAUCAAGAUCCCCGCUUUGCUCGGCGAGAGAGAGAAGAGCAAAGGCGCAGCGCCCCUCGUCAUAGCCAACUACUAGGUCAUAGCUAUCCAUCUAAAUGCCGUACAAUUCCCCCCAGGUCGGGUUUAUGACAUGGAAGUCCACUGGCUUUUUGACACGUGGCACACCUACAUCUGGAUUUACAAGGACGCCCUUUUCAGCCCUUCGCUUACGGUCAAUUUAGCUAUCUGCCUCAAAUUUAGCUAACCGGUUUGUUGCCAGAUUUAGCAGCUCCCCGAAUUUAAAUCACUUUUGUCCAAGCUGCCAGUUUGUCGGAAUCCAGUUUGGGUCAUAAAAUGGACCACUGGGGGACGCCGGGCUCGAACCCGGACCAGCGGAUGCCGCGCCGCGCCGGACUCCGGCGGUCUCGUCGCCGGACUCGAACCCGCCACCGUACGCUCCACGCCUCCACCGCUACCAUACGCCUCUCUCUAGUUUAUUAUACGCCUCCAAUCCUUCCUCAUGAUCAACGAGACAACCAACCCCGCGUAGAGUACGUGGGGUACGACGUUUGAAACUCCAUUCAUUGGGUUUUGUUAAAGAGAAUAAAAGACAGAACGCCACUGUAGCUAAACCUAGAAAUCAAAAACUAAACUACAUCGUGCCAUUAUUGGUUUGAGAUGCAACACCUUUUACUCGGGCACCCUAGCGAAUAAUAGAAUAUUUUCUGCCGGAGAAUAUUCUGGAAUCGGCCCGUGGUCCACAUGAUAGAGGGCAGUGACAAGAGGUUUUGGGCCCCCCUCAAAAUGCUUAUUUUUAUUGUUCGCUGGGAGUCCAUGUUCCCUCUUUAGCUCCCAUGUGUGGCCUUUGUUUUUGUUGCCAGCCAAACAAACACACAGAAAGUUUGAAGGAGAGAGAGAGUGUGCAAAAAUCUGAGAGGAGAGAAAGAAAUGGCACCGGCUUUGAUUGACUUUGCCGCGCUCCACUUCUUUGAUCCCUCCAUCUCCAUCUCGUCCUUUUUCUUUUUCUACUCGGACUCGGACGAUUCGAUCCAUCUCAUGUUUCGCUCGAAGUCGAUGGAUCACUGCCCAAUCACUCCAUCACUUCUUGUCGACUGGAAAAGUCUUUAAAUUCCUCUCGCUGAUGCGAUCAGCACGGCAUUAGCCUGAGAUCAAGGCCGCGGAUCAUCCAGCAAAGUCUAAGCUUUUUGCCAAGGAUGUGACAAGCUAACGUGUUGUCCAGGCGCUUACAGGUUCCAUUGUUUUUCCAAUCACAAUUCUUUUUCCUCCGGCGACCGGCACGAAAGUCGUCCGAAGCAACCCAAACUGGAAACAAGAUACAUGCCCAGUUUCUCGGACAGAUUUCCUCAAGCCCGGCAGAACACGGAAGACGAAGAAAUUCGUUAAAAAAUCCACGAGCAAGCAGCAAGAGAGAGAGAGAGAGAGAGAGACAUAAAAAACUUUGCCAAGCCCAAAGUCGUUGAUGUUAAGCUAGGCCGUGCUUGAAGCGCGUGAUGAUGAUCAUGAAAGUUCCUGUCAAGAUGCUCGGUGGAUUCUCCGUGUCUCCAGCUAGAGACUUAUCGACACACUAUCUAUCUGGUAAUGUUUCAAAACGAGUAAACUAAUCAGUGUUUGUUGGGAAUGAAUGUUUGUGCUGCUUGGCCACUUGCACUGCGGCGGCAGCAGAGGAGGAUGUUUUGCGGCAACUAUACCUGACUAAAUCGAAGUACUUUAAUUGCAAUUUGCAAGAUCACAAGUACUAGUCCUGAAGAAAAACAGCAAGAUGUGCUUAUAAUCAAGGCAUUCUUGCAACGCAAGUGGAAAUUCACUAUGUUUACCUGGGCUUUCCAAGGAUGCUUCAUCUGAAUCGCAUAGUGUCACCCUGCUGUAUGAAAAAGACAAGAGAAAAAUUCUUACUCACUAGAGUUUGUUAAUUUUACUCUAGCUAUUACAAAUUUUCCAUUGUUGAUACUCACUGUAGCUUCAUUCAACUCCACACUUUUUUACUUAAUUAGAGAUGUAAAGUUUUGUCUCAUGUUCUAGAAUUUUGUCUAUAGUUACAAAACCACAAGCUUAUCCAUAAAUGGAUUGAUAUUACUAUAAACAAUUAAAGAAAACAACUUGAAAGACGAUUAAUAGGGUUGAAAUAUAGAGGGAAAGGGCUCAUGAAUAAAAAUACAUUUUAUUUUUCAAAUGCACUCAUUUUUCCAAUCGGUUAAAGGUCCUGGGAUAUUUGGGGUUAAGUGUUUCUGGGUUGGGUGACUUCCCGGGAAUUUUAAAUUCAAGAGUUUAUAAUUACUUCAGUGCAGAAGUAUAAUCUUAACUUCUCUCUCUUCCUUUCAGCUUCUUUUCUUUGCUUUUCAAUAUGUAGUGAGUGAAAUGCUUUCACUCGUAAGUUUUUCAUAAGUGAGUGAAUAAAACUUGAUUAACUUUUAUAACCUACUUUUCCAAAGUUACAUUUAAGAUGGCCAAGUGAGCAGUGUGAUGUGUUCUUACAACCAAGUGAAUAGUUUUUUAACUUGUGCUAAUCAAAGUUUGCUCAUAGAUAUAAUACAAAAUAAGUGGGGAUGCAAUAAAUUUAUUCAUUUCUCUUCUCGAGAAAAAUCAUUCUUUUACUUCUUGUUAAAUAUAUAGUUUUUGAUUGUGAUGUUCUUCACUUUUUUUGAAGGGUAUACUCCCUUAGCCAAAGAUGCAAUUGUUGAUUCUAUGUUAUAGGUAAAAAUUUGAUAAUUAGAAUUGUUGCACGUUUCAAUAUUAAUUUUGGGACCAACUUCUAAAGUUUUACCAAGAUUAUUUUAAAUUAAUAAGUUCAAAACUUUUUCUUGACAAUCAUGAGAAGUCAAAAUAUCACCAAGGUUAACUUUAACCAUAUAAUAUCCAAUCUCAUUACAACCAAAAUGUGGCUUAGAUUAUUCAAUGGCAAUUCAAGAGCUGGUCCUCUUUAACAAGUUCCAUAUAUAAAUAAUAUAGUGAUUUACCCUUUCUUUUUUUGUAAGUUAUUGUUUAAAAAGAGUUUAUUUUAAAUUCACUUAAAUCUUUCUCUUGAGAAACUACUUAGCUUGGCAUAAAAUCUUAGCAACCCAAUACUAAAUACUAGUCCAAAAAUUUGAGAAAAACAUAUAAACCAGUAUAGUAAUGAUAAUUUGAAGCUUUUUCUUGCCAAUUUACAAGGUAUAAUAAAUGAUUGAGAUGUUGGUUCUCUAAACAAAGAUGAGAUAAAGAUUGGGAGUGAUCUUAGGCAAACAUCUCUAAGCCAAACUUCUUCAUUUGGCUCAUAAACUUGGUUGAGUUUGCAAAGGUUUCGAUAAAGUUUAUUUUUGAAUUUUUGCAUGUCAUAAAUGCUUAUCAAGGCAAUGUAAAUAGGAGUAUACUAUAAUUAUGGCUUGUCAUUUUUGUUAUGGUGGUGGUGAUUGCAACUAUCACCAUGCUUUCAACAUCUUUAUAAAUGAUUAAUUUUUUUUUACUUUAGGAUCAUCUAAAGGAGUCUCACUUAUAAUUUCUAUAGGCCCUGAUAUUAAUUUGGGUGUUUCCUAACUUUAAGAUGUGUUUUUGUAACCACAUCAACUUUGUACUUGGUCUAAAUGCUCUAUGUGUCUAGUUCCACUUUUGGAUACCCAAAUGACUAGAUAACUUUUUAUGAAGUCCAAAUUUAAAAACUUAUAUUGGUAUUAGAAAAGUGUAAGGUGUGACUCUAUUAGUUGAUUAAAAAAAUCACACCACAUGUUAAGAUUGAUAUUUAAUAGGUUUAGUUUACUCUAAUUUCAACUCGAGGGGUAAGGUGUUAAAAGAGUAAGGCUCUUAGAAGAGCCCUACUCUUGCAAAAAAACAUGAUGGAUUAUAAACAACCAAAGAUAAUAACUUAAAAAAUUAUUAAUAUUAUUUUAAAUAUAGAAAUGUACUCUUUGUUCCAAUUAGUUGUAAGUAUUAGGUUAUUUGAGAUUAAGCAUCUUUAAAUAGUAUUGGGUUAGAUGACCUUCUAGAAAGCCCAAAUUCAGGAGAUUAUAGUGCCAUAAAUAAUAUAAGUUAAUGUUUGUAAAGAAACUAGCAAGAAAGAAAACAAUUUAAAAUUAAACAACCUUUUAAAAAUGAAAUAUUUACUAGAAUGUUCAAAAUAAGUAUUUAGAAAGCAUUUUUAUUAGAGCUACUCUCAAGUAAUACUUGAUGUGUUGCAAAUGAUUUCAUAGUAAAAAAUAUCUUUAUACUUCAUUUUUAAAAUAAUAAUUAGUGGUGUUUAAUACAUAUUUUGUAUUUUCUAAACAAUAUCUAGAGACACUCAAAAACCUUUUGCUGUUAAAUUAUUGUCAUUCAAGCACUUGUUUACAAUAGUUAAAACACAAUACAAUGUUUGGUUUUAUGGGAUGGUAAAUAUAUGUAAUUGAGGAGAGUAAACAGAUUUCUAUAUAGACUUUAGUAAGUAAAUGGAAUUGUGAACAAUGACAAUUUUCAUAAGUCUUUAAACUGUAGUUUGUAACAUAUUUUAGCUAAAUAUUAAUUUAAAAAAUAAGUUGAAGUUGGUAAAGAUAAUAUAAAGUUAUCUCCUACAGUAUGUGAUGAUAAAUAACAAUUAAGCAUUUGUAUUUAGUUUUGAAAUGCAUUACCUCAAAAGGUUUAUUAAUAAUAAUUAACUUUAUUCCUAGAAUUGUUUUACCAAAGAUGCCAAAAUGAAAAAAUGCCACUAACAUGAGAUCAUCUGAGUAGCUUUUCUUUAAAGCAUUCAAUACUAAAACAUCAGAAUAAAUAUAAAAAUUAUUUUAUAGCAAUAUGCAAAGAUACCUCAUCGACUUAUAUCAAGAAAUGUAGCAUAAUCAUAGUAAAAAUGCCCUACAUAGUCUUUGUUAAAUAAAACUAAAAUCAUAGUUAUAUUUGAAUGUAAAAUAGCUUUGUAAAUCUAUACUGUUUUAUAAUCCAAGGUUAUAGGAUGGAUAUUAAAAUAUUUGGCCAUGAUUGUCUUUUGAUCAAUUUCUUUCACAAUUUUAGUCUUCUUAUCAAAAUAUGAUUAAUAUGACAUCAUUUGACUAGCUUUUCCUUCACUUGAAUUAUUAAACAUUCAACACUGAAAUAAACUUGGAACAUUAGAAUAAACAUGAAAUAAUAUUUUAAAGCAAUAAUGCAAAUUUACCUCAUUGACUUCUAUUACAAAAUAUAGCCCAAUCAUUCCAAAGACAUAUAGCAAUAACUUUAUAAAGCAUAUUUAUUUACUUUCAUCUUGCCAAAUCAUCUCGUAAAAAUAUAGAUUGAUGAUCUGAUUUAGAAUGGUUUUUGUUAGAUAAAACCAAAAACUUAAAUGUUAAAUACCUUUGUAGACCCAUAUUUUUCUUUCAUCCAGGAUUAUGGGAUGAAAAACAAAACAUAUGAUUAAUGAUUUACUUUAAAUACCCUACAUAGCUUCUGUUAGAUAAAACUAAAAGUAUGGAUACAUUUCAAUAUAAAAUACCUUUGUAAAUAUAUAUUGUUUUAUCAUCUAAAUUAUAAGAUAAAAAAUAAAUUAUUUGGUAGUUUUUCCUUCAUUUAAAGCAUUAAAAAUUCAACACUGAAAUGAACUUGAAACAUUAGAAUAAACAGGAAAGAAUAAUUUGGAGUUAUAAUGCAAACUUACCUCCUUAACUUCUGCUAUAAAAAAUACCCCAAUCAUACCAAAGACAUAUAGUAAUAACUAUAUAAAGCAUGUUUAUUUACCUUUGUUUUACUAAACCACCUCAUAAAAAUUUAGAUUGAUGAUCUGCUUUAAAAUGGUGUUUGUUAGAAAAAACUAAAAACUUAAAUAUUAAAUACCUUUGCAGACCCAUAUUUUUCUUCCCUCUAAGAUUGUGGGAUGAAGAGCAAAAUGUUUUUCCAUGAUUGUCUCCUGUUUUUCUUCUUUCCCAAUUGUAGUUGUCACUAGCUUAAAUAUCUCUUGCACAUCUUCUGCUUUGGGAUUUGUAGUUAACUUAUUUUUGAGAAGACAUGAAUCCAAAAAGCUUAUGAGGCUUCCCUUGAUCUCAUCCACCAUUGCAUUCAUUAUUUCUCCAACACCAGCAAAAUGUCCUCCAACUUUAGCCCCAAUAAAUAAUAGGAUCAAUGUAUGUUUAAAUAUUGGAGCAAAUUUCUUGAGCCAGUUUGGUGGGAGAUCCAAUUCAACACCUACAGAACUCUUCACUUGAUGACCUUUAAAAGUUCCUUGAGGCCAUUCACACAAGUAGUGAAGUUUAACAUGUGUUCCCAAUAUUUUGCUGUAAUUUUUCCACCUAUUAUUCUCAUCAAGAAUAUAUGGAUAUUUUGGGCAAUCUGUCUCCAAUUUCAAUAAUACUUGAAAACACGUUGUAUGGAUUGCAUUCACUUUAUCCAUGAUAGACUUGAGUCCAUUCUUGAGCUCGUUAAGGCUUACUUCAAUGUUAUCAAGUUUUGUAUCCAACUUGUCAAACCGAUUCUCCAUUUUAUCAAACUUCUUAUCAAAAUAUCUAAAAAUUGCAUCGAGUUUUGGGUCUUCAAUGUUUGGAAACUCAACAACAUUUAAUGAUGCUUUGGGAAUUGUGACUUCUCCAACCUCCUCAUAGUCCUUUAAGAGUUCAUGAAGCUCAACAAACUUAUUCACCACUUCAUAUUUUUGCUCAUUAGGCAUCAAUAACUUGGCCAAAGCAUUCUCAUCUGAGACCUUCAAAUCGUUAAUCACAUCCCAACUCUCUGCUUCAUGUGAAUCAUUCCAAGUGUGAGAGUAGUCUAGACCGCUUUCUCUUGCUUCACAUUUGACUUUCUUUAGUGGAUAAAUAACUGCAUCCCAUGAUUUUGGUUUGCCCACAUUAUUUAGUAUCCUUCUCCACACAUAACCACGUCUCAUCACAUUUUCUUCAAUUUCCAAAAAUGGGCAAUCCUCUAUACAUACCCCAAUAAUGCAAUUUCUAAUUUUUUCCAUCCAUCCUUCAGCUUCUUUUUCCAAAUCCGGCCUUGGUGCAUUCUCUACCUUUUUUGGGUAGUAGAUGAUGACAUCAACCCAUUGCCUAUCUUUCCAAUUGUCUGUGUCUCCCCCAACUCUAACAAUUGUCUUGAUAAGGUUUUCUUUCAAAGCCACCCAUCCAUUCCCAGGCCUAAAACCUUUCUUGCUUAAUUUGUGAAGUUUAACUUGGAUCUUUGUGAAAAUACUUGCAGGAAACAAUUUCAAGUCCUUGUCUUUGCAUUCAAACCUCCUGCCCCAGUAGUUGUGGUUUUUUUGAGUGUCAAUUGGCACUGAGGGUGACAAUAAAUAUUCUGGAGGUGAAUAUUCUUCUUGCAAUAAUGUUGGCAUUAUCGGCUCUUUGGGCAAGUUAUGCCAAUUCCCAUCCCAUUUAUCAUCCCAAGGCAAUAUCACUCCCAUCUCAUGGAGCACUCCAAGAAUGUACUCCACUAUUUUGUCUUGGUUCCCACAUUGUUGCUUCAACUGAUGUUUAACUCUGUGUGUUUCCAUUUGACUUUUGAAUUUGCUUGUCUCAGUAUGUAUGAAGAGUUGCACCACAUCCCUCAUAAACCAUUGGACAUCUAAGAUGACAAAUUGAGACACAAUGUCGUCCUCUUCAUGUCCCAAGCCAAAGUAAAUUGCAUCACCAGAAUCAUGUAGAAAUUGCAAGACGAAUUUGAGAACAUUCUUGGAACUCCUGUGAGGCAAGAGAAUUUUGCCAACUUUUUCUAGGGGUAUGACCUUCUUGUGACUUGGAUCUUGUACCAAUUUCCUCUUUGCUUUGAGACAUUCCCGUGGUAUUUGUUGCUGGGCUGACAGCAGUUCCUCCAAGCAACUCCCCAACAUGGUUUUUAUCCCCCUUAAAUCUUUCACUUGAGUGGCCACCACCUCAAAACAAAAGUCAUUCCCAAACUCAAGUACUUGCCAAUAGCCUUUGUCGGAGAUUAUUGCAGAAACCACCUCCUUUGGGUCAAAGUCGGGUUCUGGAGUGAAAAAGUUCAAGGCAAUCAAGACCCUGGGCUUCCUUUUGGGUGAGGCUGAUUGAUGUGAAGCGAUGAACCUCAGCCAGUAAACCAAAUUCUGCUUGAAAACGUCACAAUUGUCAUCCUCCACCUUGCAUACGAUCAAGAAGAGAUCCUUCUCACUUCCUCUGAGAAAGUACUGGUGGAAAGCAUGGAACUCUUCCUGUCCAGCCAGGUCGCAAAUGAGCAGCUUUUGUUUGGUGGUCGCAUAGACAAGUGGUUGCAGCUCAAUGCCUGCUGUUGAAGCAUGCCUUUGGAGACAUGAUGGAAACCAAGACACUCUGCGGCAGAGGUUGUUUUUUAUUGUGGUCUUUCCAACCCUGCUAUCACCACACAAGAAGAGUUUUGCUGUUGAUGGGUUGUCAAAGUCCUUGAAUGCACUCUUCUGGAAGAUUGCAUUCCGCUCUAAAAGACCAGAACACCUCUGCUUGAAAGCUUCAGAAGCUUCGGAAUCACUGCCUAUAUCAAGCUCUUCCACGAGGCUUUGGUAGUUUUCCUCCAGGGCAGCCAGAAUUUGUCUUUUCUGUGCAUCACUAUCAAGAAAACGAGCCCUGAAUCUGCGCACCUUGCAUUUUGGAUCCCCCAGCAACUGGCAAAGCUCUUCCAGCUUUUCAAUUUCUUCCUGACGUAUUUCCAAGUCUUCAAUGCUGCUUCCCAAAAGGCACCUCCAUGGCAGCUCCGACUCACAUGACAAAGCUUUCAGAGACUUGCAGCUGGUGAUAGCUUUCCAAAAGGGCUCCCCAUUCGUGAUUUUGCAGCUCCAUAUACCCAAAUGCUCCAGUUGGCUCUUCUCUAUGCCCUCGGCAAACUCCAACGGUAACUCUGUCCUGCUACCCCAUAUUUUCAAAUGGCGCAGCUUACAAUGUGGACUUGAGAGAGCUGACCACAGACUGCUGUCACAGACCAUUCCUCCUCCCUCGUUGAACCAAUCAAGGUCAAGGUUGAGCUUGAUCAGCUUGCAAUUGGGAUUUUGUAGCGCUCUGCCCAACCAUCCACCACCAUCACCUGGAUAAAGUCUAACGCAGAGUUCCUCCAAGCCACACUUAGCGCUGCACAGGGCCUCACCCAGGCCCGUUGCAUUGCUCAGGUCCUCACUCUGUCUCAUUUCUCGGCAAUCUAAAACUGACAGGCUGGUGCCCUCCUGAAGAGCCUUGCAUACCCAUGGCAACACUCCAGCAUCAGUACCCCAAAAUAGGUAUAGUCUUUGCAGCGAACAGUUUGGACUCGUGAGUGCCUUGAAGAGUGCUUCACCUGCCUCCUCUGGAAACGAAUAUGCCUCCAGUGCCACUAGCUUAUUGAAAAUGCCAUUCUGAAAUGCCUGUUCCCACCCUUCCUUGUCAAUGUCCUUAUCUUCGAUGACUAACUCUUCCACCUUGCACUCCUGACUUGCCAGAUCCCUACUCAAUUUCCCAAAUCCUUCCACUGUCAUCCUGUUCCCCCGCAAUUCGAGACGUUUCAAGUUGUUUCCUGCUUUCCUAAGGAGUUGGCUAAGGAGAGUCUCUGGGUUCCCAACCUUGUCCAACCAGAGCUCUGUCAAGCAGUCGAGCUGAGCAAAGGCCAACUCAAGCUCCUGAGGUGGUGUGAGGAUGUCUUUGCCUCCCCAACGGAAAUCUAGGCCUUUCAAGACUUUGAAUUCCUCUGUCAUCAUCAGUAGCUUUGCAAACCUCUGCACCUCAAUCUGGCCAAUGUCCUGUCCC
rnacentral:lncRNA from 1 species